GAUUAACAUCCCUUACACUAAAACCAAAAACGUGCUCACAAUAUAAAAGAUUAAACUACCUAAAGGAGAAACUUGAAAGUAAAAGCUACAAAUAUGACUAUAGAGUCUUUAGGCGUCCCCUUCGUCGUCCUCCUGCGGAACCGGCUUGGGAACAAUGUCUUCCUGAUCUGAAAUGAUUAAAUAAGGAAUGAGCUACACUAGCCUAGUAAGGACAUCAUGAUAUCUCACC
rnacentral:lncRNA from 1 species